rnacentral:rRNA from 1 species
GACGAACGCUGGCGGCGUGCUUAACACAUGCAAGUCGAACGGAAAGGCCCUGCUUUUGUGGGUGGCUCGAGUGGCGAACGGGUUAGUAACACGUGAGUAACCUGCCCUUGACUUUGGGAUAACUUCAGGAAACUGGGGCUAAUACCGGAUAGGAGCUCCUGCUGCAUGGUGGGGGUUGGAAAGUUUCGGCGGUUGGGGAUGGACUCGCGGCUUAUCAGCUUGUUGGUGGGGUAGUGGCUUACCAAGGCUUUGACGGGUAGCCGGCCUGAGAGGGUGACCGGACACAUUGGGAAUGAGAAACGGCCCAGACUACUACGGGAGGCAGAAGUGGGGAAUAAUGCAAAAUGGGCGGAAGACUGAUGCAGCAACGCCGCGUGAGGGAUGAAGGCCUUCGGGUUGUAAACCGAUUUCGCCUGUGACGAAGAGUGAGUGACGGUAAUGGGUAAAGAAGCACCGGAUAACUACGUG